UUCCGGUUGAUCCUGCCGGACCUGACUGCUAUCGGAUUGAUACUAAGCCAUGCGAGUCUUUGCAGUAAUGCAAGGCAGACGGCUCAGUAACACGUAGUCAACUUACCCUAUGGACGAGGAUAAUCUCGGGAAACUGAGCAUAAUACUCGAUAGAUCAUAAUGCCUGGAAUGGUUUAUGGUUGAAAUGAUUCGUCGCCAUAGGAUGGGACUGCGGCCUAUCAGCUUGUUGGUGAGGUAAUGGCCCACCAAGGCGAUUACAGGUACGGGCUCUGAGAGGAGAAGCCCGGAGAUGGGUACUGAGACAAGGACCCAGGCCCUAUGGGGCGCAGCAGGCGAGAAAACUUUGCAAUGUGCGAAAGCACGACAAGGUUAAUCCGAGUGAUUUCUGCUAAAGAAAUCUUUUGCAAGUCAUAAAACCACUAGUGAAUAAGGGGUGGGCAAGUUCUGGUGUCAGCCGCCGCGGUAAAACCAGCACCUCAAGUGGUCAGGAGGAUUAUUGGGCCUAAAGCAUCCGUAGCCGGCUCUGUAAGUUUUCGGUUAAAUCCAUGUGCUCAACAUAUGGGCUGCCGAAAAUACUGCAUAGCUAGGGAGUGGGAGAGGUAGACGGUACUCGGUAGGAAGGGGUAAAAUCCUUUGAUCUAUCGAUGACCACCUGUGGCGAAGGCGGUCUACCAGAACACGUUCGACGGUGAGGGAUGAAAGCUGGGGGAGCAAACCGGAUUAGAUACCCGGGUAGUCCCAGCUGUAAACGAUGCAGACUCGAUGAUGCAUUGGCAUAUAGCCAGUGCAGUGUCGCAGGGAAGCCGUUAAGUCUGCCGCCUGGGAAGUACGUACGCAAGUAUGAAACUUAAAGGAAUUGGCGGGGGAGCACCACAAGGGGUGAAGCCUGCGGUUCAAUUGGAGUCAACGCCGGG
rnacentral:rRNA from 1 species